AUGUUGGGGAGACACCCAGAGCCCAAGCACCUGAGACAGGACCCCAGCGGCUCCACCAUGGACUUGGUGCCAAGCUGCGUUUUCCUCCUGAUCAUUUCUCAAGGUGUUAAGUGUGCGGAGCAGCUGGUGGAGUCUGGGGGAGGCUUGGUGCAGCCUGCGGGGUCUCUGAGACUCUCCUGUUCAGCCUCUGGAUUCACCUUCAGCGACUAUCCCAUGAACUGGGUCCGCCAGGCUCCAGGGAAGGGGCUGGAGUGGGUUGCAUACACUAGUUAUGGUGAUGGUAAUCCCAUAUACUACGCCACGUCUGUGAAGGGCCGCUUCACCAUCUCCAGAGACAACGCCAAGAACAUGUUGUAUCUGCAAAUGAGCAGCCUGAGAGCCGAGGAUUCGGCCGUGUAUUACUGUGCAAGAGACACAGUGAGG